rnacentral:rRNA from 1 species
AUCCAACCUAACGACCCGAAGUCUUCUGGAAAGAAGCACCAUAGAGGGUGAUAGUCCCGUAGGGGUAGUUAGAUUGGAUGUUGGAAUGUUCCGGAGUACCACUCGCUGGAAACCGAGUGGGAAGUUGGGUGACACUAUCAUCCAACUCUAAACACUACCCAAGACCGAUAGCGUAUAGUACCGUGAGGGAACGUUGAAAAGAUCCCCUGACGGGGAGUGAAAAGAGCCUGAAACCUGAUAGCUAAAGUAUGGUACUGCUCUACGGAGUUGUACCGUCCGUUUUGAAUAACGGGCCAGGGAAUUUGGUUCUGUGGCGAGGAUAACUCUCUCCGAGAGGUAUCCGUAGCGAAAGCAAUUGUCCGCAGCCCUUUUGGGUGAGGGACACAGUAUGAAAGUGCUGGAAGUCACAGGGCCCAGACCUGAAACCGGGCGAUCUAGGCUUGGGCAGGGUGAAGCCUUCCUAACGGAAGGUGGAGGCCCGCAGAGGUUCUGUGGACAAGCGUUCUUCUGACCUGAGUCUAGGGGUGAAAAGCCAAUCGAGCCCGGAGAUAGCUGGUUCCAGUCGAAGUUGGCCGUAGUCAAGCCUUGAGGGAGGUUUCUAAUCCUGUAGAGCUACGGAUAGGGGAAGAUGGGGGAGAAAUCCCUCGGUCCCCUGUCCAACUCCAAAGGGAUUAGAAUCGUAGAUCUCAGGAGACGGGGGCUCGGGGUAAACUCGAGUUCCGAGAGGGGAACAACCCAGAUCGUGGUUAAGGCCCCAAAAUGUUGAUUAAGUGUUAACGGGGGAAGGAUGUCUUUUGCCCAAGACAGCCGGGGGGUUGGCUUAGAAGCAGCCAUCCUUUAAAGAGUGCGUAACAGCUCACCGGUCGAGGCUGAGGGCUCCUAAGAUGGACGGGGCUAAAUCAACUGCCGAUACCACGACCUCAUCAAAAGUGAGGGGUAGGCUGGCGUCUGGAGAGGGCAGAAUUGUCUUCGUAAGAAGGCGAGGACCUCUCUGGAAUGAAGAUCCUGGCGGUAGUAGGAGCUGAGCACCGUGAGAAUCGGUGUCGCCGCAAGGGCAAGGGUUCCUUGGCAACGUAGGUCAACCAAGGGUUAGUCGGUCCUAACCGGAGUCUUAACCUGAACUUCGGGAAAGGGAAACAGGUUAAUAUUCCUGUACCUACCAAGUACGUUUUCGGCAACGAAAGAUAGUUUCCUGACGCUUGGGGCUAAGUUCACACUGUUGAAGUGUUAAGGUGUAUAAUUCCGAGGAGAGUCGUAAUGACGAGAAUCGGAAUAAAGCACCGAUGAGCUCCUGUAGAGGAGUUGAACUGAUGCCUUGAGCCCAUGAAAAGGGAAACUAUAAGAAUCUUGGUAGUCCGUACCAAGAACCGGCACAGGUGCCCCUGGGUUAGUAGCCCAAGGCGUGUAGGUUUAAUCCAACCGAGGGAAUUCGGCAAAUUGGCCCUGUAUCUUUGGUAGAAGGGGUCCCUGCUACCGUAUCUUUUAGAUGCGGAUGCAGGGCGCAGUGACUAGGGGGGCCCGACUGUUUAACAAAAACGUAGCCAACCGCCAGUUCGAAAGGAUGUGUAUGGUUGGUGAAGUCUGCCCAGUGCCUGUACUUUAAACCUCCUUCCAAGGAGGCCAAGAGCAGGUAAACGGCGGGAGUAACUAUAACUCUCUUAAGGUAGCGUAAUACCUUGCCGUUUAAAUGACGGCUUGCAUGAAUGGCUUAACGAGGUCCCCACUGUCCCCGGUUGGAUGCCUCCGAACACUCCAUUGUGGUGUGAAGGCCACAGACCUCCAGUGGGACGUGAAGACCCCGUGAAACUUUACUGUAGCCUGUCGCUGUGAGGCAAGUUCUGAUGAGCAGGCUAGGUGGAAGUCAUCGAAGCUUACUCUUCGGGGUAAGUGGAGACGAAAGGUGAGAUACCACCCUUUAGGACUUACCUUGCUAACUCCUUAUAAAGGAGGACACCGAUUGGUGGACAGUUUGGCUGGGGUGGCACUCCGCCGAAAAGAUAUCGGCGGAGCCCAAAGGUCAGCUCACCCGGGUCAGAAAUCCGGGGUAGAGUGCAAGGGCAAAAGCUGGCCUGACUGGAUUCCAGACAAGGCGGAAUCCAGAGGCGAAAGCCGGGCCUAGCGAACCUCCGUACCUCCAUAGUGGGGGUCGGAGAUGACCGAAAAGUUACUCCGGGGAUAACAGAGUUGUCUCGCCCGAAAGCUCCCAUUGACGGCGAGGCUUGCUACAUCGCUGUCGGCUCUUCCUAUCCUGGCCGUGCAGAAGCGGCCAAGGGUGGGGGUGUUCACCCAUUAAAAGGGAUCGUGAGCUGGGUUCAGAACGCUGUGAGGCAGUUUGUUUAAUAUCUACUGGGGGUGUGGAA